AAUAUUGGACAAUGGGGGCAACCCUGAUCCAGCCAUGCCGCGUGUGUGAAGACGGUCUUCGGCUUGUCAAGCCCUUUAAGUUGGGGGGAAGUGCUUUAGGUUAUUACCCUGAAGUUUUGACGUUACCAACAGAAUAAGCACCGGCUAAUUCUGUUCCAGCAGCCGCGGUCAUACAGAGGGUGCGAGCGUUAAUCGGAAUUACUGGGGGUAAAGCGCGUGUAGGUGAUUCAGUAAGAUGGGUGUGAAAUCCCCGGGCUUAACCUGGGAACUGCUUUCAUAACUGCUGAGCUAGAGUACGGUAGAGGGUAGUGGAAUUUCCUGUGUAGCGGUGAAAUGCGUAGAUAUAGGAAGGAACACCAGUGGCGAAGGCGACUACCUGGACUGAUACUGACACUGAGGUGCGAAAGCGUGGGGAGCAAA
rnacentral:rRNA from 1 species